UAAACACACUUUCUAUCUCAAUCUUUGUGAUUGUAUUUCCUUGAGUGACUAAGGUUUAGUCAGAAUUACUCAAGAAGACAUUUACAGUUGGUCUUGUGUUGUAAUCAUGUUUGGUUAUAGGGGAUUAAGUCCUUGUGAUAAGGCGAAAUCACCUUGACGGGUGAACUGGAGGUAGCUUGGUUAACAUCGAACCAGAAUAAAAAUAAUUUUGUUCAUUAUUUUUGUUCUUAGUUUUCUGUUUGUUUCUUUGGGUUGCAAACGUUUUUGUUCUUG
rnacentral:lncRNA from 1 species